GAGACAGCAGCCGCCGCGGUAAUACGUAGGUGGCAAGCGUUGUCCGGAAUUAUUGGGCGUAAAGGGCUCGCAGGCGGUUUCUUAAGUCUGAUGUGAAAGCCCCCGGCUCAACCGGGGAGGGUCAUUGGAAACUGGGAAACUUGAGUGCAGAAGAGGAGAGUGGAAUUCCACGUGUAGCGGUGAAAUGCGUAGAGAUGUGGAGGAACACCAGUGGCGAAGGCGACUCUCUGGUCUGUAACUGACGCUGAGGAGCGAAAGCGUGGGGAGCGAACAGGAUUAGAUACCCCCGUAGUCCCUGUCUCUUAUAC
rnacentral:rRNA from 1 species